GAUUCAUAUCCAUCAAUUCAUUAUAAGUAUCAAGAUUCAAUUUCAUACAAACAUCAAAGUCAAAUCAUGUUCAUCAUACAAGUAUCAAAUUUAUUCAUAAACAAGUGUCAAUUUCAUUCAUAUGCAUCAAAUUUCAUUAUUACAAAUAAGAUAUCCAUUACAUGAGAAAAUUUCAAAUUUUGAACUUUGACCAAAUGUUGACUUUGGUCAAUAGUUGACUUUUUGGUCAACUUUGACCUAAGUCAACUCCAUCCCAAUUCCAUCCCUAAUCUUCCAGGGCCCAUGUUGAUUCUUGAUUAACUAAUUACACAUGUUGUUUCUAGUUUCAAUCUUGUUGCAUUGUUCAACCGCCAUUCUUCAUGUGCAUAACCAUCCCAAAAGAACCUAGCAAAACAAAAGCCAAUGGACCAAGUCAGAAUUAAUACAUGGUCAAGAUGCAAACCAAAUGGAGCCUAGUUGCAAUGCUAUUACAAAGUCAGAGUUCCAACAUAAGCCAUGCAAAUUGAACCUAUGGAAUCAUGAACUUUUGCCAUUAACCUGACUAAGACAUGCAUAACUUACCAAAUGCAUUCAAACAGUCCAAGUGGAAUAUAUAGGCACACCUACAAUGCAUAUAUGGCCAUGCUAUUCAAGCCAAGGUCAUAAUGAGCAAGACCACCAUAAAAAUCCUGCAACAACCAAUCAAACAGUAUGAUCAUAUCAACAUUAGUGCAGGCAGUCACAACAAAACCCGAUAACAAUGCAUCAAUCCUUGCAAGCAGACCUGUAAUGCAGCUAACAUCAGCCACCAAAAGCAACUCCUUAAAUUGCAGCUAAACUUGCAGACACAUACACAACAUUCAGCAGAUAUUUUCUAACCAUAAAGCUAACUGCACAAUUGAACACUUUACUGCAUCGAAUAGAUUAGCAGAACUGAGCAUCAUCUGCUUUUCUCUCCAAUUUCAAUCAUAGAACUUGGCACUAAUUGGUAUUCAAGCUAAAAUACAAUAAUUCACAGUUGUCAAUGAAUUCACAACUAAUUACCUUAACUGUUUCCUAAUUGAUUCACAAGUUGUAACAGAAUUGAACAAAGUAUGAUAACAGAAAGAGAAAGGCAUAACAUAAUCGGUAUAGAGUAUAAAAGGACCCCUGCAUCAUUGGCUUGAGUCAAUUUUUGACUUCUUCUCAGAUCCUAGCUUACACUCUCUCAGAUCAAAUCCCUUUCAACUUGCAUCUUCUUCCUCAAGCUCACACGCAUUCAACUUCAUUCAUCUCAUUCUCAAGAUCAUCGAGUAAACCAUAUAAAACAGAGAGAAGGGAGUGGAGGAAGGAAGAUACAUAGCAAGCACUAAGAAUCACAUACAUGAAGAGCGCUAAACUCAUAGUAUUGUUCAUCGACAUCGGCUUCGGAAGAUCACCGCGUUAGAGAUCCAACUCAGUAAGUUCUCUGUCGCCAUCCUUUCCAUUCAUCCGUGUAGAACGACUUGUGAUGUCUCUGCCUCUUCCUCGAGUCACCAUGGCAAUGCAAAUCAACGUCACGUUUUCAAAAUUUCCGAAGAGGAUUCGGAAGACUGAGAUGAACAAGGUUGCAGAGAUAAUGAUGGGAGCUUCAAGCCUUGAAUGGAUGCGUAACUUUGUCUUGUUGUAGGGAUUUGGUGAGUGUGUUUAAGAACACGAUAUUCAUGAUCUUCGCUGGAGAUUUGAAAUGCAAUAGAGGCGCAUCUGCAGAGAUGGAGUCUUGCUUUGAUUUAUGGCGUCGGACCCUGUUUCAGGCCAUCGAAGCCUAUGCCUAAUUGAAUUGCUAUUCGCCACCCUCACCAAGAUUCAUAC
rnacentral:lncRNA from 1 species